rnacentral:rRNA from 1 species
UACGUAGGGUGCAAGCGUUGUCCGGAAUUAUUGGGCGUAAAGAGCUCGUAGGCGGUCUGUUGCGUCGGCUGUGAAAACCCGGGGCUCAACUCCGGGCCUGCAGCCGAUACGGGCAGACUAGAGUUCGGCAGGGGAGACUGGAAUUCCUGGUGUAGCGGUGAAAUGUGCAGAUAUCAGGAGGAACACCGGUGGCGAAGGCGGGUCUCUGGGCCGAUACUGACGCUGAGGAGCGAAAGCGUGGGAGCGAACAGG